UUUUGUCCUCAGGGAAUGUUUUAGCCUGCCAGAGUGUUACAGACAGGAUAUACCACGCGCUGCCUCCAUUGAGUAACUCUGUGAUUCAGAAUGCAUUUGCUUCACAGCUAAGGCUCCUGCAGCUUCUGGGUCAUCAAAGCUGCAGGCACAGAUACCCUGUACCCGGCCAUGAAAGCCAUAGUUGGACGAAUGGGCACAGAGGAGGGGUUUGGAGAGCCUGUUGUUACAAGCACUCAGCAUACACUUCGCCCCAGAGGAGCACCAGAAAUCAAAAUGAAAGCUUCAAAAGCUUCUGGAAAGCCUAGAAAUCCACAUGAUCCGUGAUGUGCCGAAGAAAAUUAACCAGGAGGUGACCCUAGUGACAUCUGAAAGAGCCCGAUGAGAG